rnacentral:rRNA from 1 species
GCGGCAGGCCUAACACAUGCAAGUCGAGGGGUAACAGAAAAAAGCUUGCUUUUUUGCUGACGACCGGCGAACGGGUGCGUAACACGUAUGUAACCUACCUAUAACUGGGGAAUAGCCUACUGAAAAGUGGAUUAAUACGCCAUAAUAUGUAUUUAAGGCAUCUUUUAUACAUUAAAGCUUUGGCGGUUAUAGAUGGACAUGCGCAACAUUAGCUUGUUGGUGAGGUAACGGCUCACCAAGGCAACGAUGUUUAGGGGGUCUUAGAGGAUGAUCCCCCACACUGGUACUGAGACACGGACCAGACUCCUACGGGAGGCAGCAGUGAGGAAUAUUGCGCAAUGGAGGAAACUCUGACGCAGCCAUGCCGCGUGCAGGAAGAAGGUCUUAUGGAUUGUAAACUGCUUUUGUAUGCCAAGAAACCUUAGUACGUGUACUAAGCUGACGGUAGCAUACGAAUAAGGAUCGGCUAACUCCGUGCCAGCAGCCGCGGUAAUACGGAGGAUCCAAGCGUUAUCCGGAUUUAUUGGGUUUAAAGGGUCCGCAGGCGGAAAAUUAAGUCAGUGGUGAAAUCCUACAGCUUAACUGUAGAACUGCCAUUGAUACUGGUUUUCUUGAGUACAAAUGAGGUGAGUGGAAUGUGGCGUGUAGCGGUGAAAUGCAUAGAUAUGCCACAGAACACCAAUUGCGAAGGCAGCUCACUAACAUGUAACUGACGCUGAGGGACGAAAGCGUGGGGAGCGAACGGGAUUAGAUACCCCGGUAGUCCACGCCGUAAACGAUGAUCACUCGAUGUUGGCGAUAUACUGUCAGUGUCUGAGCGAAAGCAUUAAGUGAUCCACCUGGGGAGUACGA